GAUGAACGCUGGCGGCGUGCUAACACAUGCAAGUCGAGCGAGAAGCUUAUGACAGAAUCUUCGGAUGAUGGAUUAAGUGGACAGCGGCGGACGGGUGAGUAACGCGUGGGUAACCUGCCCUAUACAGGGGGAUAGCAGUUGGAAACGACUAUUAAUACCCCAUAUUCUAUGUUUAUCGCAUGAUAGAUAUAGGAAAGAUUUAUCGGUAUAGGAUGGACCCGCGUCUGAUUAGCUAGUUGGUAAGGUAACGGCUUACCAAGGCGACGAUCAGUAGCCGACCUGAGAGGGUGAUCGGCCACACUGGAACUGAGACGCGGUCCAGACUCCUACGGGAGGCAGCAGUGGGGAAUAUUGCACAAUGGGGGGAACCCUGAUGCAGCAACGCCGCGUGAACGAUGAAGGUCUUCGGAUCGUAAAGUUCUUUUCUUGGGGAUGAAAUAAUGACAGUACUCAAGGAAUAAGCACCGGCUAACUACGUGCCAGCAGCCGCGGUAAUACGUAGGGUGCAAGCGUUAUCCGGAAUCACUGGGCGUAAAGGGUGCGUAGGCGGUAAAGCAAGUCAGAAGUGAAAGGCAAUAGCUCAACUAUUGUAAGCUUUUGAAACUGUUUUACUUGAAUUCAGGAGAGGUAAGUGGAAUUCCUAGUGUAGCGGUGAAAUGCGUAGAUAUUAGGAGGAACACCGGUGGCGAAGGCGACUUACUGGACUGAGAUUGCGCUGAUGCACGAAAGCGUGGGGAGCGAACAGG
rnacentral:rRNA from 1 species